rfam:Melampsora larici-populina 98AG31 unplaced genomic scaffold MELLAscaffold_26, whole genome shotgun sequence.
GAAGUGUUAGUUAAAUGGUAUAACACAUCUUUUACACAGAUGAGAUGAGAGCUCAAUUCUUUCACACUUUA